GACGUAGGAGGCGAGCGUUAUCCGGAUUCACUGGGCGUAAAGCGCAUGUAGGCGGUUGCACAAGUCCGUUGUUAAAGCCCCCGGCUCAACUGGGGAGGGUCAUUCGAUACUGAUCGACUCGAAGGCAGGAGAGGGAAGUGGAAUUCCCGGUGUAGUGGUGAAAUGCGUAGAUAUCGGGAGGAACACCAGUGGCGAAGGCGACUUCCUGGCCUGUUCUUGACGCUGAGGCGCGAAAGCUAGGGGAGCAAACGGG
rnacentral:rRNA from 1 species